rnacentral:rRNA from 1 species
CGCUGGCGGCGUGCUUAACACAUGCAAGUCGAGCGGUAAGGCCCGUUUCGGGGGUACACGAGCGGCGAACGGGUGAGUAACACGUGAGUAAUCUGCCCUUCACGUUCGGGAUAAGCACCGGAAACGGUGUCUAAUACUGGAUAUGAGCAUCCUGCGCAUGGUGGGUGUUGGUAAAGUUUUUCGGUGGGGGAUGUGCUCGCGGCCUAUCAGCUUGUUGGUGAGGUAAUGGCUCACCAAGGCUUCGACGGUAGCCGGCCUGAGAGGGUGACCGGUCACACUGGGACUGAGACACGGCCCAGACUCCUACGGGAGGCAGCAGUGGGGAAUAUUGGACAAUGGGCGGAAGCCUGAUCCAGCAACGCCGCGUGAGGGAUGACGGCCUUCGGGUUGUAAACCUCUUUCAGUACUGACGAAGCGCAAGUGACGGUAGGUACAGAAGAAGCACCGGCCAACUACGUG